rnacentral:rRNA from 1 species
AUCAGNNAGCAGCAGGCGCGCAAAUUACCCACUCCCGGCACGGGGAGGUAGUGACGAAAAAUAACGAUACGGGACUCAUCCGAGGCCCCGUAAUCGGAAUGAGCACACUUUAAACCCUUUAACGAGUAUCCAUUGGAGGGCAAGUCUGGUGCCAGCAGCCGCGGUAAUUCCAGCUCCAAUAGCGUAUAUUAAAGUUGUUGCGGUUAAAAAGCUCGUAGUUGGAUUUGUGUCCCACGCUGUCGGUUCACCGUUCGUCGGUGUUUAACUGGCAUGCCCGUGUGGACGUCCUGCCGGUGGAUGCGGUCGGCCGUAGGCUUCGGUCUGCGUGUCGGCGGUCCGAUGCAAUCCUACCACGGUGCUCUUUACCGAGUGUCGAGGUGGGCCGGCACGUUUACUUUGAACAAAUUAGAGUGCUCAAAGCAGGCAGUGGUUCGCCUGAAUAUUGUGUGCAUGGAAUAAUGGAAUAGGACCUCGGUUCUAUUUUGUUGGUUUUCGGAACUUGAGGUAAUGAUUAAUAGGGACAAACGGGGGCAUUCGUAUUGCGACGUUAGAGGUGAAAUUCUUGGAUCGUCGCAAGACGAACCUAAGCGAAAGCAUUUGCCAUGAGUGUUUUCAUUAAUCAAGAACGAAAGUUAGAGGUUCGAAGGCGAUCAGAUACCGCCCUAGUUCUAACCAUAAACGAUGCCAGCUAGCGAUCCGCCGAAGUUCCUCCGAUGACUCGGCGGGCAGCUUCCGGGAAACCAAAGCUUUUGGGUUCCGGGGGAAGUAUGGUUGCAAAGCUGAAACUUAAAGGAAUUGACGGAAGGGCACCACCAGGAGUGGAGCCUGCGGCUUAAUUUGACUCAACACGGGAAACCUCACCAGGCCCGGACACCGGAAGGAUUGACAGAUUGACAGCUCUUUCUUGAUUCGGUGGGUGGUGGUGCAUGGCCGUUCUUAGUUGNNGGAGCGAUUGNNAAA